rnacentral:rRNA from 1 species
AGAUUGAACGCUAGCGGGAUGCUUUACACAUGCAAGUCGAACGGCAGCGCGGACUUCGGUCUGGCGGCGAGUGGCGAACGGGUGAGUAAUAUAUCGGAACGUGCCCAGUAGCGGGGGAUAACUACGCGAAAGCGUGGCUAAUACCGCAUACGCCCUACGGGGGAAAGGGGGGGAUUCUUCGGAACCUCUCACUAUUGGAGCGGCCGAUAUCAGAUUAGCUAGUUGGUGAGGUAAAGGCUCACCAAGGCGACGAUCUGUAGCUGGUUUGAGAGGACGACAGUCACACUGGAACUGAGACACGGUCCAGACCUCCUACGGGAGCAGCAGUGGGGAAUAGUUGGACAAGUGGGACAAAGCCUAGAUCCAGCCAUGCCGCGUGUGUAGAAGAAGGUCUUCGGAUUAGUAAAGCUACGUUUAAGGUGGGAAGGAAGGUCUAGUUAACUAAUACGUAUU